rnacentral:tRNA from 2 species
GCUCCCGUAGCUCAGGUGGAUAGAGCACAAGAUUCCUAAUCUUGGGGCCGCGCGUUCGAGUCGCGCCGGGGGCA